AAUAUUCAAAUAUCCAUAACGCGUUUCGUCACAAAAGGACUUUUUGGUUAUUCCAUUUGAAAAAGUCCUUUUGUGACGAAACGCGUUAUGGAUAUUUGAAUAU
rnacentral:miRNA from 1 species